AGCGAACGCUGGCGGCAUGCUUAACACAUGCAUGUCGCACGGAGGGGGCAACCCCUCAGUGGCGGACGGGUGAGUAACGCGUAGGUAUCUGUCCAUGGGUGGGGGAUAACAGCGGGAAACUGCUGCUAAUACCGCAUGACACCUGAGGGUCAAAGGCGCAAGUCGCCUGUGGAGGAGCCUGCGUCCGAUUAGCUUGUUGGUGGGGUAACGGCCUACCAAGGCGAUGAUCGGUAGCUGGUCUGAGAGGAUGAUCAGCCACACUGGGACUGAGACACGGCCCAGACUCCUACGGGAGGCAGCAGUUGGGAAUCUUGGACAAUGGGGGAAACCCUGAUCCAGCCAUGCCGCGUGAGUGAUGAAGGCCUUCGGGUUGUAAAACUCUUUCGACGGGGACGAUAAUGACGGUACCCGUAGAAGAAGCUCCGGCUAACUUCGUGCCAGCAGCCGCGGUAAU
rnacentral:rRNA from 1 species